rnacentral:rRNA from 1 species
UACGUAGGGUGCAAGCGUUAAUCGGAAUUACUGGGCGUAAAGCGUGCGCAGGCGGUUCUAUAAGACAGAUGUGAAAUCCCCGGGCUCAACCUGGGAACUGCAUUUGUGACUGUAGAGCUGGAGUACGGCAGAGGGGAUGGAAUUCCGCGUGUAGCAGUGAAAUGCGUAGAUAUGCGGAGGAACACCGAUGGCGAAGGCAAUCCCCUGGGCCUGUACUGACGCUCAUGCACGAAAGCGUGGGGAGCGAAACAAG